rnacentral:rRNA from 1 species
CCUACGGGAGGCAGCAGUGAGGAAUAUUGGUCAAUGGCCGGAAGGCUGAACCAGCCACGCCGCGUGAAGGACGAAGGUGCCAAGCAUUGUAAACUUCUUUUAUAAAGGAAUAAAGUGAGGCACGUGUGCCUUUUUGUAUGUACUUUAAGAAUAAGGCUCGGCUAACUCCGUGCCAGCAGCCGCGGUAAUUCGGAGGAUCCGAGCGUUAUCCGGAUUUAUUGGGUUUAAAGGGAGCGUAGAUGGGUUGUUAAGUCAGUUGUGAAAUUUUGCGGCUCCACCGUAAAAUUGCAAUUGAUACUGGCAGCCUUGAGGACAGUUGAGGUAGGCGGAAUUCGUGGUGUAGCGGUGAAAUGCUUAGAUAUCACGAAGAACUCCGAUUGCGAAGGCAGCCUACUAAACUGCCACUGACAUUGAUGCUCGAAAGUGUGGGUAUCAAACAGGAUUAGAUACCCGUGUAGUC